GACGAACGCUGGCGGCGUGCUUAACACAUGCAAGUCGAACGAAGAGCGAUGGAAGCUUGCUUCUAUCAAUCUUAGUGGCGAACGGGUGAGUAACGCGUAAUCAACCCGCCCUUCAGAGGGGGACAACAGUUGGAAACGACUGCUAAUACCGCAUACGAUCUAAUCUCGGCAUCGAGGAUAGAUGAAAGGUGGCCUCUACAUGUAAGCUAUCACUGAAGGAGGGGAUUGCGUCUGAUUAGCUAGUUGGAGGGGUAACGGCCCACCAAGGCGAUGAUCAGUAGCCGGUCUGAGAGGAUGAACGGCCACAUUGGGACUGAGACACGGCCCAGACUCCUACGGGAGGCAGCAGUGGGGAAUCUUCCGCAAUGGACGAAAGUCUGACGGAGCAACGCCGCGUGAGUGAUGACGGCCUUCGGGUUGUAAAGCUCUGUUAAUCGGGACGAAAGGCCUUCUUGCGAACAGUUAGAAGGAUUGACGGUACCGGAAUAGAAAGCCACGGCUAACUACGUG
rnacentral:rRNA from 1 species